rnacentral:rRNA from 1 species
GAGUUUGAUCAUGGCUCAGAACGAACGCUGGCGGCAGGCCUAAUACAUGCAAGUCGAGCGCGCCCUUCGGGGUGAGCGGCGGACGGGUGAGUAACGCGUGGGAAUAUGCCCUUCUCUAAGGAAUAGCCUCUGGAGACGGAGAGUAAUACCUUAUACGCCCUUCGGGGGAAAGAUUUAUCGGAGAAGGAUUAGCCCGCGUUAGAUUAGGUAGUUGGUGGGGUAAUGGCCUACCAAGCCUACGAUCUAUAGCUGGUUUGAGAGGAUGAUCAGCCACACUGGGACUGAGACACGGCCCAGACUCCUACGGGAGGCAGCAGUAGGGAAUCUUAGACAAUGGGGGCAACCCUGAUCUAGCCAUGCCGCGUGUGUGAUGAAGGCCCUAGGGUCGUAAAGCACUUUCGCCAGAGAUGAUAAUGACAGUAUCUGGUAAAGAAACCCCGGCUAACUCCGUGCCAGCAGCCGCGGUAAUACGGAGGGGGUUAGCGUUGUUCGGAAUUACUGGGCGUAAAGCGCACGUAGGCGGAUUAGUAAGUUAGAGGUGAAAUCCCAGGGCUCAACCCUGGAACUGCCUUUAUACUGCUAGUCUUGAGUUCGAGAGAGGUAAGUGGAAUUCCGAGUGUAGAGGUGAAAUUCGUAGAUAUUCGGAGGAACACCAGUGGCGAAGGCGGCUUACUGGCUCGAUACUGACGCUGAGGUGCGAAAGUGUGGGGAGCAAACAGGAUUAGAUACCCUGGUAGUCCACACCGUAAACGAUGAAUGCCAGACGUCAGCAAGUAUACUUGUUGGUGUCACACCUAACGGAUUAAGCAUUCCGCCUGGGGAGUACGGUCGCAAGAUUAAAACUCAAAGGAAUUGACGGGGGCCCCGCACAAGCGGUGGAGCAUGUGUUUAAUUCGAAGCAACGCGCAGAACCUUACCAACCCUUGACAUCCUGUGCUACUACCAGAGAUGGUACGUUCCCUUCGGGGACGCAGUGACAGGUGCUGCAUGGCUGUCGUCAGCUCGUGUCGUGAGAUGUUCGGUUAAGUCCGGUAACGAGCGCAACCCACAUCUUUAGUUGCCAGCAGGUUAAGCUGGGCACUCUAGAGAAACUGCCCGUGAUAAGCGGGAGGAAGGUGUGGAUGACGUCAAGUCCUCAUGGCCCUUACGGGUUGGGCUACACACGUGCUACAAUGGCAGUGACAAUGGGUUAAUCCCCAAAAGCUGUCUCAGUUCGGAUUGGGGUCUGCAACUCGACCCCAUGAAGUCGGAAUCGCUAGUAAUCGCGUAACAGCAUGACGCGGUGAAUACGUUCCCGGGCCUUGUACACACCGCCCGUCACACCAUGGGAGUUGGUUCUACCCGACGACGCUGCGCUAACCCUUCGGGGGGGCAGGCGGCCACGGUAGGAUCAGCGACUGGGGUGAAGUCGUAACAAGGUAACC